rnacentral:lncRNA from 1 species
AUGACACACAGGGUCUCGAUGCUGGCCGUCACGCACAGCACGUCCACCGAGGUCCACAGCUCGCAGAAGAAGGAGCCGUACUCCCAGCGGCCCCACACCACGAUGGUGGCCCCGAACGGCACCACCAGCAGCCCCAUGACCAGGUCGGCGCUGGCCAGGGACAUGAUGAAGAGGUUGGUGAGCGUCUGCAGCCGCGGCGUCUUGGCGAUGGCCACGAUCACCAGCACGUUGCCCGCCACGAUGAGCAGCACGAUGAGCGCCAUCAGCAGACCCAUGCCCGCCGUCCACUGCUGCGACAGCGGCUCGGGGCCUUCGCUGGCGGGAGGCAGCAACGAGGCGGGCGGCGACGCGGGCACCAGCAGCCGCGCCGCGGUGGCCACGCCGUCGGGGAGCGGUGCGGCCGACGACAGGUUACCGGGCUCGGAGGCGCCCAGGACGAGCCCUGCGCCCAUGCCGAGUGCCGGAGGCGGGGCGGGGGCGGGCUGGUUGGGAACACCCAGAAGCCUGGACGGCGGGGUGCGCAGAGGGAGGUCGCGGCCGGGUCAGGGCAGCCGCGGCCCGGGGCCGGAGGCAUGGGCGCCGGGCGCCUUUCCCGCCGGAGCCGAGCGCUGUCGCUGCCGCCGCCGCCGCCGCCGCCGCUGCUGCUGGAGCCGCUGCCGCUGCUGGAAGAGCCGCCGGGACCUCAGCAUGUUUCUGAGCGCGCCGGGCCCGCAGCUCCGGCACCCAGCACCCACCACCCUCCCACCCCUCAACCAGCCUCCAGCCUCCUCCAAUCCAGGCAGCCUUCCCCGUCUGGUCCCUCCACUCCCCUUUGACGGUGUUGUCCCCAUUCAUUUCAUUCCUGCCAUUCCACCCCGCUGGUCCCUGGUCCCUUCCCCUGCCCCUCCUCCCUCCCUCGCUUUCCGCCCUUCUGCAGCGUCCUCUCCACCCUGCGCCUCCCUCCGGCAUCCCCUCGACCUGCAGUGCCGGGGUUCCCUGCGUAACAGUGCGCUAGCUCCCUUGAGCGCGGAGGGGACCUUGGUGUUCAGGAAGCGCCAGAGCGCCUGGGACAGCUUGUCCGCCAGGCUUGGAGGAGUUUGCCCUGCGAGCUUGGUUGUGAUGUGGGGCAGCCUAGCAGGAUGUGUGUAA